rnacentral:tRNA from 1 species
GGCCCCGUAGCUCAGCGGUUAGAGCAGGCGACUCAUAAUUGCUUGGUCCUCGGUUCGAAUCCGGGCGGGGCUA